rnacentral:rRNA from 1 species
UACGGAGGGGGCAAGCGUUGUUCGGAAUUACUGGGCGUAAAGCGUGCGCAGGCGGUUGUGCAAGACAGAUGUGAAAUCCCCGGGCUCAACCUGGGAACUGCAUUUGUGACUGCACGGCUGGAGUGCGGCAGAGGGGGAUGGAAUUCCGCGUGUAGCAGUGAAAUGCGUAGAUAUGCGGAGGAACACCGAUGGCGAAGGCAAUCCCCUGGGCCUGCACUGACGCUCAUGCACGAAAGCGUGGGGAGCAAACAGG